UCACACUCUCUGAUCAGUCACCACAGUCUCGGUCUAUCACGGUAGCACUAGCUUCAGCUAGCCACCCUCUUCCUCUCCGGGCAUCUUCUUGCAUCAACCACGGCAAUGGCCACCGCUGACGUACGUAUAGCUUGUCUAGAUCGACUUUCCUUUUUCGCAUGCUCGCAUCGAUGAUCGUUUCGAUCGGUUCUUUACCUUUUGAUCUGCUUAUGUGUGUGAUCUGACGAACGGCCGGGUGAGCAUGAUAUUCAUUGAGCUCGAGCUAGAUUGGUUUGUGUACGUGUUGACAUGUGCGUGGUGCUAAUGAACGUAACUGUGCGUCGUGCAGGUCCAGAACCCAUCGGCCGCGCUGACGGAGGAGGCGCCCGCGGCGGAGACGCCAGUGGCCGCCGAGGAGGCCGCGAAGACGGAGGAGGUCCCCGCGCCGGCGGAGGCCGAAGUCGAGGCGCCUGCCCCCGUCGAGGUUGAGGAGACCAAGGAGGAGGCACCGGCAGCCGCUGAGACGGAGGAGACCAAGGAGCCCGAGCCAGCAGCUGCCGCCGAGCCGGAGGCCGAAGCGCCCAAAGAGCCAGAGGCGCCAGCCGUGGUCGAGACCAAGGAGGCUGUGGCAGAGGCAGAGCCGGCUGUGGUCGAGGAGGUGAAGGAGGAGGCGGCGCCUGCUGCCGAGCCAGAAGUGGCGGCCGUCGCCGAGGAAACACCGGCUGCAGCGGAGGAGGCCCCAGCGGCCGCGGCAGAGGAGCCGGCCGCCGCCGUGGCCAGCGUCAGCGUGUGAGGCGCCGGCGCGCGCGGAGGAGGAGCUGGCUGGGUCAGCGUCCACGGCGGCGGUCAUGUGCUCCUACGUGGCACGGCGUGAUGCUUAGUCAGCCAGUGGAGUGGACUGGAGUGCUACUGCUUUUUACUACGUACAAGGUGUGGGGUGCUUUGCGCGGGGUGGCGCGUGGCGUGGGCUAAAUAAAAGUGUUGUCGGGUCGACGCCCAGUGUCGGCCAGCAUCCAGCGAGCGAGCGACUCGACAAGAUAUGCUUCAUUAUGUUUUGUUUUCGCAUGGCAAACAUAAACAAGGUUAUCCUAAUUUAGAUUCCUAACCAUGCGUCGUCAAGGGCGUGUUUGGUUACAUUGUCAAUCCAGCCUGGCCCGGCGAGCCUGGCUCUAGUGAGCCGGUUGUGGGGAUGCGGGGCAAAAAAAACCAGAUGGACAUAGUUCGGUUGUGUCAUGCAUGCCCCUAAUUGCAUGAGACAAUCAUUUUUGACUCGGAGUUUGGUUGCCCGCAUUCCAUUAGGCGCACAUAUGACAUGGUGUUUGGUUGCAACCUGCGUAAGGUGUUGUCAUCACUUCUAACUAGUGGUGAGCUUAUCACACAUAAUCUGAAAAUGUAGCGCCAGCUAGUUAAACAAAUGACAGUUCAUCCUAACUACUAUCAAAUGACAGUUCAAAUUAUUAAGAGCCAUUGGCUAAAUAGGGGAUAGUUCAGCGGUGUUGCAGAUCUUCCUCUUCCUCUUCCUCUUCUUCUGCUUCUGCUACUGCUUCUUCUUC
rnacentral:lncRNA from 1 species